AUCACGGAGAGGGCGAUUUCUAUGUAGAUGAGGCAGCGCAGGGGCUGCUGCUUUGCCACGAAAGAGUUCCCGUGCCGUGGGAGCAAGUCUGGGACCGCUGGUCGGACCGGAGAGUCGCAGCUGUGUGUUAGGGCUAGGAUGGCUCCGGGAUGCGCGUGACGCAAGUGACCUUGCGUGUAAAGGGAUACAUGAUCCCUUAAUUCAGGCUCAGGCUGAAGAACUGACCCACUUACGACAGAAGACACAGGAAGGGAGAGGUGUCUGCUACCUUUUUACCCAGCAUGUGAAGAACACAGUCAAGUCUUUUGAGGGCCUUCUCAGGAACACUGGCAUUGCCUACUACCAGAGACAGAGAUUCUGUGAGCAAAUGGUACAAGGAAGCCAGCUGACAGAGAUCCUUGUCAGAAAACUUGUCACAGAGAGACGGGGUUUCACCACAUUGGCCAGGCCGAUCUCAAACUCCUGACCUCAUGUGACCCACAUUGGCCUGGCAAAGUGCUGGGAUUACAAGCAUGAGCCACCACACUGGCCUAGCUUCUUUAAUACAAGAAUCACCCCCAAUUCUCACCAACAAACUGAGAAGAAAAAAAAAAGAAUUACCCCCAAGAACAUCUGAGGAAGCACAACAGGGACAGACUUGAAGAAAAUCACAACGGCUCAGGAGGGACAUCAAGGAGGAAGAAAUGGAUAAAGUCCUGGAGGGACUUCAAACAGUAUUUGACCCAUUCCAGCCGCCAUGACUCCCACCAGCUUCGCAGCAGCAAUGCCUUCCUCUUUGAUGCACAGGAAGGCCCCUCGGCUGUGGAUAUAGCCAAAGAUGAGAUCCAGAGACAGCGGUAGCACCUGAAGGAGACCCUUUUCAUCAACAACUGCCUGUGAGAAAAGCUGGAAUGUCAUCUCAGCAGCUUUGAUGAAGAAAAUGGUGGGAGAGGCCCAAGCACAUCAUAGAUUCCAUCGUCCAGCUGUAUAAUGAAAACAGAGUUCUCAGAGAACACCGGAGACUCCCCCGACUUGCCUGAAUCAAGUUUCUAGAGGUAACAACUGAUGUUGGAACUAUGAAAAGCUCUUCUCUACUUUUAACAAAGCUUAGUCACAAACAGUUCCCCAGUUGACGAGAACAACUAAAACAACAGAACAAUUGAAAGUCCAAAUUUGAAAGCUCCAUCUCCGAGAAGCAAAUUUUACAGCCACUCCAGAUUUGUAUUCCAAAUGGAUAGUUUGAUUAUAAAAAUCACAUCCCUUCAGCCUGCAAAUGUGAUAACUGCCCAAGAGACAGUGAUGCCUACAUCCAUAGAUAAUCCCCUUUCCCCCAACCUAUAUAUAACUGGAGUCAACAGCAGCUGGAGGAAAAUGGCAAGGACUUGUAAUCAAGAUUAAGUUAGAAAAACACUGCUGUAGACUGUUUAUCAGCUCUUCAGCAUAUGUCCGUUUUCCUUGAAGGAUGAGCGUUUAGAAACCUCUGACAAUAAAGUUUAUUUUACACAC
rnacentral:lncRNA from 1 species